AUGUGCUUCUAUGUUUCUGGCCGCUCAGCUGCCGUGGUCACAUUUGACCACGAAUCAGUCAAGCAACCAAGUGUGUUCCCUUUAAUUGCCUGUACAAGCUUGACUUCUGACAUGAUCAGUAUUGGAUGUUUGGCUACUGGUUAUGUUCCUAGACCAGUAAAAAUCCAAUGGAAUUCAGGAACCUUAACAACUGCUUCGAAGGAGAUGACAAUACAAUACAGUGAUGGAUUUUCCUCAAUUAGCUUCCUGACCAUACCCCAAUCCAGCCUGAAGAAAGAAACUUUUACCUGUACAGUGGAACAUGGACCAUCCAAUUUUAAAACCAGCAAAGAAGUAACAGUGAAGGAAAGAUCACAAGAUAAAACUGAUUUGGCGAAGCCCUCUGGAAUAUAUGUAUUCUGUCCUCAUCGUAGGGAAAUUGAAGAAGUUAAAAGUAAUAGUCAAUUAAGUCUAGUUUGUAUGAUCAAAAGUUCCAGCAAGGAUGAUGUCAGUGUUUCAUGGUCGCAGGGUAGACAUCCUAUAACUGGCAACAUAGAAUAUACAGCAAAAGAACUUCAAACUAAUGUAAUAUUCAGUAUUCUGAUCAUCAGGAAGGAACACUGGGAAAGCAAUAAAACCUAUAUUUGCAAAUCCAGUAAAGGAAGUGAAGAUGAAGUGAACAUGGAAAAAUGCAAGGGCUAAAAGAACCGAUUUAUGUGCUUCACAUCACAAAUCCCAGCCUGUGUAACAUCUUUUGCCACCCCAUAUCCCCAGUCUUGUUAUAUCUGACUACAACUGACUGUAAUGCAUUAAAAUUAAAAACGUUUACUAGUGUAGUUCUAUGUACUUGUAUAUCAUCACAAAGAGCCACUUGUCCUAUCAGCACUUUAUUGCAUUUUCUAACAUCUACUUGCACUAGAGAUGAGUAAACCUUUUAAAACCUUUGAAGCUUUGCCAGUAUUUGGCCAAUGAACAAAUUCCCUAUCAUAUAAGGCAAUGGAGCAUAAGAUCCCUCUUUUUGGCCUCCAUUAACUUAUAUUAGGAAAAUAUAACUCUAGAAUAACACAUAAUAGCCAAGUAGUCAUCCAUAUAUAUUACUUUUUAUGUGACUAUGAACAUUUUAAUAUCAGCUUAAGUAGUAUUUACAAGAGUAUCUACUGUAUAAGGCGACCAUCUCCCAGGACAGAUUACAGACAGAGACAUACCUCAGCCCUUUCCAUAGGGCAAUUGUCAGCCGAGCCCAAUGGAUGAUUGUGUUUCACAAAUUGUUAAGGAAUUCUAAAUCUCUCUGUGCUAUAACGUUGUCUUUUUCAUACAUAUGUCAUAGCUGUAUAUAGAGAAACAUAGAAUGUGUCGGCAGAUAAGAACCAUUUGGCCCAUCUAGUCUGCCCAAUAUACUGAA